UACGAAGGGGGCUAGCGUUGCUCGGAAUCACUGGGCGUAAAGGGUGCGUAGGCGGGUCUUUAAGUCAGGGGUGAAAUCCUGGAGCUCAACUCCAGAACUGCCUUUGAUACUGAAGAUCUUGAGUUCGGGAGAGGUGAGUGGAACUGCGAGUGUAGAGGUGAAAUUCGUAGAUAUUCGCAAGAACACCAGUGGCGAAGGCGGCUCACUGGCCCGAUAUUGACGCUGAGGCACGAAAGCGUGGGGAGCAAACAGG
rnacentral:rRNA from 1 species